UAGAUGUUCCAGGAAAACUUGAUCAUGCUUCAAUUGUUGCUUAUCAAGUUGGUUUACAUAAAAAAGAAAUUCUGAUGCCUGAGAAACUUCCGAUAAGAAAAGCUAGUAUACAAUUUGAUUCAAUUCAAAAGAUUAAAGGUGAUGAGUCAAGACGUAAGUCCUUAGGCGAUGUAUUGGGUUAAAUAGAAGGACAUAAAUGUGAGAAACUAUGAAUGCAAAAAUGCACCUCAACGUUUUGGAUGAUUCACUAAUCAAUUUCAUGAUUAUUCAUCAGUGCACAAUUUUUCAACAUGAUUCAGCACCAUGCUACACUGCAAAGUUUGUGAAGCAGUGGCUUGGAUCAAAAAACAUACAGUUGCUUGAUUGGCCUGGAAAUUCUGCAGAUCUCAACCCAAUUGAAAAGCUUUGGAUGUUAAUCAAGAAGCGUGUGUCUGCUAAGAACUGCAGUUCAUUAGAUGAUUUAAAAAAUGCUAUUCGUCAUAUAUGGUGUACAGAACUUACAUCAGGACUAUGUGAAAAUCAUGCCAAAUUCAUGCCCAAAC
rnacentral:lncRNA from 1 species